AAAUUGAAGAGUUUGAUCAUGGCUCAGAUUGAACGCUGGCGGCAGGCCUAACACAUGCAAGUCGAACGGUAACAGGAAGCAGCUUGCUGCUUUGCUGACGAGUGGCGGACGGGUGAGUAAUGUCUGGGAAACUGCCUGAUGGAGGGGGAUAACUACUGGAAACGGUGGCUAAUACCGCAUAAUGUCGCAAGACCAAAGAGGGGGACCUUCGGGCCUCUUGCCAUCAGAUGUGCCCAGAUGGGAUUAGCUUGUUGGUGAGGUAACGGCUCACCAAGGCGACGAUCCCUAGCUGGUCUGAGAGGAUGACCAGCCACACUGGAACUGAGACACGGUCCAGACUCCUACGGAGGCAGCAGUGGGGAAUAUUGCACAAUGGGCGCAAGCCUGAUGCAGCCAUGCCGCGUGUAUGAAGAAGGCCUUCGGGUUGUAAAGUACUUUCAGCGGGGAGGAAGGUGUUGUGGUUAAUAACCGCAGCAAUUGACGUUACCCGCAGAAGAAGCACCGGCUAACUCCGUGCCAGCAGCCGCGGUAAUACGGAGGGUGCAAGCGUUAAUCGGAAUUACUGGGCGUAAAGCGCACGCAGGCGGUCUGUCAAGUCGGAUGUGAAAUCCCCGGGCUCAACCUGGGAACUGCAUUCGAAACUGGCAGGCUUGAGUCUUGUAGAGGGGGGUAGAAUUCCAGGUGUAGCGGUGAAAUGCGUAGAGAUCUGGAGGAAUACCGGUGGCGAAGGCGGCCCCCUGGACAAAGACUGACGCUCAGGUGCGAAAGCGUGGGGAGCAAACAGGAUUAGAUACCCUGGUAGUCCACGCCGUAAACGAUGUCUACUUGGAGGUUGUGCCCUUGAGGCGUGGCUUCCGGAGCUAACGCGUUAAGUAGACCGCCUGGGGAGUACGGCCGCAAGGUUAAAACUCAAAUGAAUUGACGGGGGCCCGCACAAGCGGUGGAGCAUGUGGUUUAAUUCGAUGCAACGCGAAGAACCUUACCUGGUCUUGACAUCCACAGAACUUUCCAGAGAUGGAUUGGUGCCUUCGGGAACUGUGAGACAGGUGCUGCAUGGCUGUCGUCAGCUCGUGUUGUGAAAUGUUGGGUUAAGUCCCGCAACGAGCGCAACCCUUAUCCUUUGUUGCCAGCGGUCCGGCCGGGAACUCAAAGGAGACUGCCAGUGAUAAACUGGAGGAAGGUGGGGAUGACGUCAAGUCAUCAUGGCCCUUACGACCAGGGCUACACACGUGCUACAAUGGCGCAUACAAAGAGAAGCGACCUCGCGAGAGCAAGCGGACCUCAUAAAGUGCGUCGUAGUCCGGAUUGGAGUCUGCAACUCGACUCCAUGAAGUCGGAAUCGCUAGUAAUCGUGGAUCAGAAUGCCACGGUGAAUACGUUCCCGGGCCUUGUACACACCGCCCGUCACACCAUGGGAGUGGGUUGCAAAAGAAGUAGGUAGCUUAACCUUCGGGAGGGCGCUUACCACUUUGUGAUUCAUGACUGGGGUGAAGUCGUAACAAGGUAACCGUAGGGGAACCUGCGGUUGGAUCACCUCCUUACCUGAAAGAAGC
rnacentral:rRNA from 1 species